GCGGACAGCCAUUGUCAUUAGAAUUGUAUAAGCGAGUCCAUCCCCAAUUAGUUUCGCGUUGUGCUGUUGUUGAUUUUAUUAACGUUUUAUUAGUGAGUGAUUUUCGAGAAAUGAAACGCGCACUGAAUAUAUUUCAAAGUUUUUGUCAUCUUCUAAACGCACUUGGGUUCCUGUUCCGUCGGCAACGUGGAGCUCGCAAGACCUGAUGUCUAUAUUCAGUGAAAAUCAUAAAGACGAUUUACUGCUACACGUAGUAAAACGACUUUUAAAGUGUAUAUCUGCGAGAAUUGUCUUCAAAUUAGAGUGGAGUGGAGGUUAAUUACCUCCAAAAUGUGAAAAACAAGUAAGUACUCACGAAUUUCUAAUUUCA